rnacentral:rRNA from 1 species
UACGUAGGGUGCGAGCGUUGUCCGGAAUUAUUGGGCGUAAAGGGCUCGUAGGCGGUUUGUCGCGUCGGGAGUGAAAACUCAGGGCUUAACCCUGAGCCUGCUUCCGAUACGGGCAGACUAGAGGUAUGCAGGGGAGAACGGAAUUCCUGGUGUAGCGGUGAAAUGCGCAGAUAUCAGGAGGAACACCGGUGGCGAAGGCGGGUCUCUGGGCAAUAACUGACGCUGAGGAGCGAAAGCGUGGGGAGCGAACAGG